GGCCUCCUACGGGGCGCAGCAGUGAGGAAUAUUGGUCAAUGGGCGGGAGUCUGAACCAGCCAAGUCGCGUGAGGGAAGACGGUCCUAUGGAUUGUAAACCUCUUUAGGCGGGGAGCAAUGCCGGGCACGUGUGCCCGGAGGGAGAGUACCCGCAGAAUAAGCAUCGGCUAACUCCGUGCCAGCAGCCGCGGUAAUACGGAGGAUGCGCGCGUUAUCCGGAUUUAUUGGGUUUAAAGGGUGCGUCGGCGGAUUUUUAAGUCAG
rnacentral:rRNA from 1 species